rnacentral:rRNA from 1 species
AGUGAACGCUGGCGGUAUGCCUAACACAUGCAAGUCGAACGGCAGCACAGUAAGAGCUUGCUCUUACGGGUGGCGAGUGGCGGACGGGUGAGGAAUACAUCGGAAUCUACUUUUUCGUGGGGGAUAACGUAGGGAAACUUACGCUAAUACCGCAUACGACCUACGGGUGAAAGCAGGGGAUCUUCGGACCUUGCGCGAUUGAAUGAGCCGAUGUCGGAUUAGCUAGUUGGCGGUGUAAAGGCCCACCAAGGCGACGAUCCGUAGCUGGUCUGAGAGGAUGAUCAGCCACACUGGAACUGAGACACGGUCCAGACUCCUACGGGAGGCAGCAGUGGGGAAUAUUGGACAAUGGGCGCAAGCCUGAUCCAGCCAUACCGCGUGGGUGAAGAAGGCCUUCGGGUUGUAAAGCCCUUUUGUUGGGAAAGAAAAGCAGCAGGUUAAUACCCCGCUGUUCUGACGGUACCCAAAGAAUAAGCACCGGCUAACUUCGUG